GAUGAACGCUGGCGGCGUGCCCAAUACAUGCAAGUCGAGCGAACAGACGAGGAGCUUGCUCCUCUGACGUUAGCGGCGGACGGGUGAGUAACACGUGGAUAACCUACCUAUAAGACUGGGAUAACUUCGGGAAACCGGAGCUAAUACCGGAUAAUAUAUUGAACCGCAUGGUUCAAUAGUGAAAGACGGUUUUGCUGUCACUUAUAGAUGGAUCCGCGCCGCAUUAGCUAGUUGGUAAGGUAACGGCUUACCGAGGCAACGAUGCGUAGCCGACCUGAGAGGGUGAUCGGCCACACUGGAACUGAGACACGGUCCAGACUCCUACGGGAGGCAGCAGUAGGGAAUCUUCCGCAAUGGGCGAAAGCCUGACGGAGCAACGCCGCGUGAGUGAUGAAGGUCUUCGGAUCGUAAAACUCUGUUAUUAGGGAAGAACAAAUGUGUAAGUAACUAUGCACGUCUUGACGGUACCUAAUCAGAAAGCCACGGCUAACUACGUG
rnacentral:rRNA from 1 species